UGGACACCCACUCACAGAGCCAUUCAUUCAGCUCAUUAUUUUACUCUGUUUUCUGUCAUCUAUGAGACCUCUGCAAAUAGCAUAUACAGACCUAUAGCUCCCCCGUGUUAAUAAUAAUCCUAGAAGGUUUAAACACACUACACGAUGAAUUCUGAAGUUCUCAGCUGCUUGCCAGGUAGCAGAAGCUCCACCAGCUCAAGCAUCCCAGCCUGCAAGAGGAGGUGAAGCAGCACUGUCCAGGGCAAGGACUCACAAGAGGAUGCCCGGGGCUCAGCCAGAACCGCACAGCACACGGCAGCGAAGGUCGACUGCACCAAGAGGGUGAACAAAACCCCACAGAGUCCACGUCACCGUGUUGACUUGUACCUCUGUCUGUUGGCCAGCAGCUCGGCAGAAAGUUCAGCACCUCCCAGCAGUGGUGGCGCACUCCUUUAAUCCCAGCACUUGGGAGGCAGAGGUAGGUGGAUUUCUGAGUUUGAGGCCAGCCUGGUCUACAGUGUGAGUUCCAGGACAGCCAGGGCUAUACAGAGAAACCCUGUCUUGGGAAGGAAGGAAGGAAGGAAGGAAGGAAGGAAGGAAGGAAGGAAGGAAGGAAGGAAGGAAGGAAGGAAAAGAAAGUUCAGCACUUCUGUGGUGUAUUGACUUGGAGCCCUGUGAGUAUUUCCCUAACUGACCCUGAGGUUCCUCCAAGCUGUAGAGACUGCUUCUCAUCAGCCUUCGCUGUCUUUUGUGUUGGGGGGAGUUGAUAGGGACGUACUUGGUUGUUUUCUUUAACGGUAUCUUGCCUCAUAACCCUUGCUAGCCUGAUACUUUCCAUGUAGCCCAGGCUGCCCUCAAACUUACAGCAAUUCUCUUGCCUCCCGGAGGUUAGAAAUACAGGUGUGAUUGGCAACCAGUCUAACGAGGGUGAGGUGGGGGUCUCAGAUCGGUUUAAAUUCAAAUUGCCCCGGUGGCUCAAUGUGCUUCCGAAUAUUUAUCAGCCACUUGUAUUUUUUCUUUUGAGAAUUGUCUGUUGAACUCGC
rnacentral:lncRNA from 1 species